UACAGAGGUCCCAAGCGUUGUUCGGAUUCACUGGGCGUAAAGGGUGCGUAGGCGGUUGGGUAAGUCUGUCGUGAAAUCUCCGAGCCUAACUCGGAAACUGCGUCGGAUACUAUUCAACUCGAGGAAUGGAGGGGAGACUGGAAUUCUCGGUGUAGCAGUGAAAUGCGUAGAUAUCGAGAGGAACACCAGUGGCGAAGGCGAGUCUCUGGACAUUUCCUGACGCUGAGGCACGAAAGCCACGGGAGCAAACUGG
rnacentral:rRNA from 1 species